rnacentral:rRNA from 1 species
UACGAAGGGGCUAGCGUUGCUCGGAUUGACUGGGCGUAAAGGGCGCGUAGGCGGUUCGUACAGUCAGACGUGAAAUUCCUGGGCUCAACCUGGGGGCUGCGUUUGAUACGUGCGGACUUGAGUGCGGAAGAGGGUCGUGGAAUUCCCAGUGUAGAGGUGAAAUUCGUAGAUAUUGGGAAGAACACCGGUGGCGAAGGCGGCGACCUGGUCCGAUACUGACGCUGAGCGCGAAGCGUGG